GACGAACGCUGGCGGCGUGCUUAACACAUGCAAGUCGAACGGAAAGGCCCGGCGCUUGUGGCUUUCUCGAUUGCCGAACGCGUGAGUAACACGUGAGUAUCCUGCACCUAUCUUUGUGAUAUCUUCAGGAAACUGGGGCUAAAACCGGGGAUAAUCUCCUGCUGCACGUGGGGCGUUGGAGAAUGUCGGCGGUUGGGGCUGGUCUCGCGGCUUAUCCGCUUGUUUGGCGGGUAGGGGAUGACCAAGGUUUCGACGGGUAGCCGGCAUGAGAGGGGGGACGGCGACAUGGGGACUAAGAGAGGGCGCAGUCUCGUACGGGAGGCAGCAGUGGGGAAUAUUGCGGAAUGGGCGGAAGCCUGAUGCAGAAGCGCCGCGUGCGGGAUGACGGCCUUCGGGUUGUAAACCGAUUUCGCAUGUGACGAAGAGUGAGUGACGGUAAUGGGUAAAGAAGCACCGGCUAACUACGUG
rnacentral:rRNA from 1 species